AUCUCAACCCUCAAGUGGUUCUGGGUAUUGAGAGGUUACUCAGAUUCCCAAGAUGGCGGACGAGAAAGAACAGAACAGCGACAAGAAAAACGAACCGAUUAAAAUACCUCGUGGAAGGCCUAAAUCUGGACGAGUAUGGAAGAGUGAAAAAAAUAAGAAGUCUACCAUAAUCAAGGUUAAGCCACUACACUCCGACUGGAAGAAAAAGCAAAAAGAUAAACUGGAGAAGAAGCUACUCAAGGCGUAUGAGAGUGAGCUGAAAGAUACGGCAACUAAACAAAAAGAGGAGAAAAGAAAGAGGCAAGAAGAGAACAAAAAGAGACGGGAAGAAAAUGAAAGAAAAUCUCAAAUUGUUCAAGUUAUAAAAGACACUUCCAAGAUAAAGAAGAUGAAAAAAAAGCAUCUAAGACAAAUAGAGACAAGAUAGUAUAUCGUAUUUGCAAAUACUAUACUUCCCAUACAGUAUUCUUGUCCAUGGCAUUUUCCUGCUUGCAUCAUUACAGCCUCGUACUUCCAUAUUCAAGGGGUACACCACAUACAUUGAUACAACAAUAGCUGAGCAAGAUUUGGAUAAUCAAGAUUCAAGUCUGGAUUGAUUGGCUUUACACCAUGAGAAUCCAGAUUUUGAAGAACGAUGUAUGUCUUUGUGUUGAACAAUAAUGUUUUUCCAUUUAA
rnacentral:misc_RNA from 1 species